CAAAGCUCCUUGCCAAUGCUAGUCACGGUUUAAGGAACUUUGAGUUAACCUCUUAUAUCGAAUGAAUCUUUUCAUUUGGAAACCAAUAAAUCUCAAUCUCUAGCCACCUUUUGUAGAACAGGCUGGGGCUUACCAAGGCAAGGCUGAAGCUUAUAAUAAAGAAGAGAUAAAGUUUGCCAAAGUUUUUUUUUUCCUCCCCUUCUUCUUCUUCCUCUUCUCUUGUAAAUAAAAGUUUUGGAGAUGGCAGCAUUUGGAAGCGAUCCGGAGAAGGACUUGGAUCUAUGCAUUGUUUCACACGCCGAGUGCCCGGUAACACGAGAGGUUUCCUCCGAAGGAAACCCAGACCCCAGCGAAGUCGCAGCGCCGUCGCCGCCGAGCCCGGGGCUGCCCGCUCCCAGAGACGGUGCCUGCAGCGGGGCGAGAGCCGCGAGCCUCCGACCACACCGUAGCGAACCCCGGCCGGUAUCACGAGGGCAACCUUCCCACGGGCCUCCAGGUUUGCUCUCAUCCUGCCUGACACUGAUAAGUCCUUUUGCUGAAUUCCCGAAAGUUGCKUGCUCUUCCGUUUCGGGUAUAAAGUUACCGAAGUGUGACAGAUAAAGGCAUAUGCCUUUACUGUUYCUGAACACGAGUUAAAGCCGCGCAUACGAGACUCCGGUGCAAAGGCUUAGUUAAAAGGUGCUGCUGCUUAAAUGAAAAACUGCCAAAAAAAAGUGUAGUGCUUUAAACAACAGCACGAAGAAAAUCAUAACAUAGUCAAYCCUAAUGCAGCGGAAAGCGUCAGCCCCCAGAAGAAUAGAGGCRUCCUCCGCUCUGCUGUCACUCGCAUUUGCACCUGUAUCUGUACUUUCAAGRGAAGGAGGACGUGGAUCAGGAAGCCACUUCGCUUCUCCUCUCCUUAAAUUGUGUUUCGAAACACACCUGACACGUUCACCAAUACAUGACAUUAUUCUGCACYCAGGCUAACAGUGGUCGGUUUGGGGGAUGCGGCGAAAUGUUAAGGAUGGAGCAAGAAAGCGGCAACUGCGGAAAGGAAUCCUAGGAGCUCUUCUAAAGGAGCCCCGGAAAGACAAAUUAACGGGGACUACAGGGAUUAUAAUAUAUCAGUUUUAUCCUCCUUUCGGUGAGCGGUAUAAUGUAAGGAGGGGUGGCAGAUUUGGAAGAGACAACUAUUCGCAUCUUCCACUUGGGGAACAAGUUUUUGCCUGCAUUUGCAGUCGCUGAUACUGUUAUCGCAUCUCCUGCUUUGGAGAGCACAGCCCAGCCCCACUCUGCCUCGCAUUAUUUAUAACCCCCUGCUUCGUGUGGUCAUUUAAAACUGUUUGAAUUUGAGCUGCUAAGCCCCAAAACUUUUACAAACUUGAAGAGAAAGAUAGCCCAUGAGAAAGAGUAUUACAGCUGAGGGAACAAUCAUAUCACACGGCGUUGGCCAGCGAGGCUAAAAAAAAAUAGUGUAGGCUCUCACUUCAGACAAUCUGUAAAUUCCUGUGUUUUUUCUUUUUAAAUCAGUAAAAGAUGUGAAGGGGCGAUUAACAGCUUUAAAGGUAAACAGGAAAGAAAGCUUUCCCGGGGCGGGGUCAUCGCUGGGAAGCCGAAAGGAGGACAGGAGUCCGUCUGACGGGAAUCAAGCGUUUCUUCGCAAAGYUGCUGGGAGAGAGGCGAGCAGAUGGCAACCCGGGGAGCCAGGCAGCAAGGAGGUGCGCCCCUCUUCUCGAGGAAGAGGGGGCAUCGCCCUUCCCCGGAUUCCCCAGCCCUUGGAUAAUAAACUCAAGUGUCUGCCUGUCUCA
rnacentral:lncRNA from 1 species